rnacentral:rRNA from 1 species
CCUACGGGUGGCAGCAGUGAGGAAUAUUGGUCAAUGGGCGCGAGCCUGAACCAGCCAAGUAGCGUGAAGGAUGACUGCCCUACGGGUUGUAAACUUCUUUUAUAAAGGAAUAAAGUGAGGCACGUGUGCUUUUUUGUAUGUACCUUAUGAAUAAGGAUCGGCUAACUCCGUGCCAGCAGCCGCGGUAAUACGGAGGUUCCGAGCGUUAUCCGGAUUUAUUGGGUUUAAAGGGAGCGUAGAUGGGUUGUUAAGUCAGUUGUGAAAGUUUGCGGCUCAACCGUAAAAUUGCAAUUGAUACUGGCAGUCUUGAGUACAGUUGAGGUAAGCGGAAUUCGUGGUGUAGCGGUGAAAUGCGUAGAUAUAACGAAGAACACCGGUUGCGAAGGCAGCUGACUAAACUGCAACUGACAUUGAUGCUCGAAAGUGUGGGUAGCAAACAGGAUUAGAUACCCUAGUAGUC